rnacentral:rRNA from 1 species
GAGGGAAGGCUCCCGAAUCUGAUCGAAUAAUGUGCUGGAGUACACGAGCGGCGGACGGCUGAGUAACGCGUAGGAACGUACCCCAAAGUGAGGGAUAAGCACCAGAAAUGGUGUCUAAUACCGCAUGUGAUCCAAGGAUUAAAGCUUCGGCGCUUUGGGAACGGCCUGCGUAAGAUUAGCUAGUUGGUGAGGUAAUAGCUCACCAAGGCGACGAUCUUUAGCUGGUUUGAGAGGAUGAUCAGCCAGACUGGGACUGAGACACGGCCCAGACUCCUACGGGAGGCAGCAGUAGGGAAUCUUCCACAAUGGGCGAAAGCCUGAUGGAGCAACGCCGCGUGCAGGAUGAAUGCCUUCGGGUUGUAAACUGC